rnacentral:rRNA from 1 species
AUUGAACGCUGGCGGCAUGCUUUACACAUGCAAGUCGAACGGUAACAGGCCGCAAGGUGCUGACGAGUGGCGAACGGGUGAGUAAUGCAUCGGAACGUGCCCAGUCGUGGGGGAUAACGCAGCGAAAGCUGCGCUAAUACCGCAUACGAUCUAUGGAUGAAAGCGGGGGACCGUAAGGCCUCGCGCGAUUGGAGCGGCCGAUGUCAGAUUAGGUAGUUGGUGGGGUAAAGGCUCACCAAGCCAACGAUCUGUAGCUGGUCUGAGAGGACGACCAGCCACACUGGGACUGAGACACGGCCCAGACUCCUACGGGAGGCAGCAGUGGGGAAUUUUGGACAAUGGGCGCAAGCCUGAUCCAGCAAUGCCGCGUGCAGGAAGAAGGCCUUCGGGUUGUAAACUGCUUUUGUACGGAACGAAAAGGCUCUGGAUAAUACCUGGGGCUCAUGACGGUACCGUAAGAAUAAGUACCGGCUAACUACGUGCCAGCCGCCGCAGUAAUAC